rnacentral:rRNA from 1 species
UGGUGGAGUGAUUUGUCUGGUUAAUUCCGAUAACGAACGAGACCUUAACCUGCUAAAUAGUCACAGUAACUUUGGUUGCUGCCAAUUCUUUGACUUCUUAGAGGGACUACGAAUCUUACAAUUCGUGGAAGUUUGAGGCAAUAACA